rnacentral:rRNA from 3 species
GAGUUUGAUCUUGGCUCAGAUUGAACGCUGGCGGCAUGCCUUACACAUGCAAGUCGAACGGCAGCACGGGAGCUUGCUCCUGGUGGCGAGUGGCGAACGGGUGAGUAAUGCAUCGGAACGUAUCCUGGAGUGGGGGAUAACGUAGCGAAAGUUACGCUAAUACCGCAUAUUCUGUGAGCAGGAAAGCGGGGGACCUUCGGGCCUCGCGCUCUUGGAGCGGCCGAUGUCGGAUUAGCUAGUUGGUGAGGUAAAGGCUCACCAAGGCGACGAUCCGUAGCAGGUCUGAGAGGAUGAUCUGCCACACUGGAACUGAGACACGGUCCAGACUCCUACGGGAGGCAGCAGUGGGAAUUUUGGACAAUGGGGGCAACCCUGAUCCAGCCAUGCCGCGUGAGUGAAGAAGGCCUC